GGGAAGCUGUGUUGGGAAAAAGAAGCCAGUGAGUAGCUUGAUAGGAGGACUGGAGAUGGUUACUGGUGCCACUUGUACCUGGGGCUGGCCUUGGUUUUUCUAUUGUUUAAUUGCCUGGUAUAUCUUGCAGUGGUAAUCCAGCUUAAAUCACAUUCCUCUGUUAUCAUCAGUAGCCCCAGCAGUGGCUUUAUCCAUGUUAGUGACUAUUUGUCAUCGGCCAUUUAAUACCUGAUUUUUCAUGGAAGGAGGAAAAUACCAUUAGAUGCUAAUGUUAUUGGGCUCAAGAACAUCAAGUCAGAUAUCUUAAUGAGAAGACGGCUGGUAAUGUACAGGAAUGUGCAUUUUCUGGACUGGGUGUUGAAGCUCACUGCGUGCUAGAAGGUCCCUUGUCAGCGCUGACUUCAUGGUUUUUGCAGGCUUCUGCUCCAUUGCUGCAAAACUGUUCACUGUCAGAGGAGCAAAAUCUACAGGCCCAGGUCCCUCCAGAGCAGCCCCUGCUGACUGUGUAUGCUGUUCCUGGGAGCUCAACAAACAUCCACCACAGAGAUCGCAUUGCUUCUGUUUUCAGCUCCUAUUAAUUUGUAAAUGGAUUUUUGAUGAUUAAGAUGAAGUCUGAGCUGCUGCUGGUGGGAAUUCUCCUAUGCCAAGAAUGAGCAGAUACAGCAUGCAGCGCUUGGUGCCCUUCUGUCCUGGGGUGCGUUUUCCUUAGGUUUGCCAACAGAGGUGCAUGGGCAGGCUAUACCCGUGGCAGAGGAAGUAGGACCCUGCAGCUUCCGUCGCAGGCAGUUGAUGUGUUUUCUGACAGAAGGACUGCCCAGGUACGGAGCAUCUGCAGCUGGAGAACAGAGAAGGAGUGGUUCAGGCCUUCUCAAAUGGUGCCUCUGAUGAGACUGUGAAAUUCACCUGCUUUUGUUUUAAAAUUGGUUUUGAUUUCAUCGCGAUAAUCAGUAUUGCUUUAGAAAAUCCAUACAUCAUCAAUCUGAAACAAUUUGUAGGGUUUUUCAAUUGGCUGAAUUUAAGAUAAAAUAAAAAAUAAACACCU
rnacentral:lncRNA from 7 species